rnacentral:rRNA from 1 species
UACAGAGGGGGCAAGCGUUGUUCGGAAUUACUGGGCGUAAAGGGCGCGUAGGCGGCCUGUUAAGUCGAACGUGAAAUCCCCGGGCUCAACCCGGGAACUGCGUCCGAUACUGGCAGGCUUGAAUCCGGGAGAGGGAUGCGGAAUUCCAGGUGUAGCGGUGAAAUGCGUAGAUAUCUGGAGGAACACCGGUGGCGAAGGCGGCAUCCUGGACCGACACUGACGCUGAGGAGCGAAAGCCAGGGGAGCAAACGGG